CAUUAAAGUAUAAAUAUACAUUUGAUUUCCAAUCAAAAAAACUUAAUAAGUAAAAAUA
rnacentral:tRNA from 1 species